UGGGGUGUAGCUCAUUGGUAGAGCGCUCGCUUCGCCAUGCGAGAGGUACGGGGUUCAAUUCCCCGCACCUCCA
rnacentral:tRNA from 1 species